rnacentral:rRNA from 1 species
GGUGAACGCUAGCGGCAGGCCUAACACAUGCAAGUCGAGGGGUAGUUAUCUUCGGAUAAUGAGACCGGCGCACGGGUGCGUAACGCGUAUGCAAUCUACCUUGUACAGAGAGAUAGCCCAGAGAAAUUUGGAUUAAUACCUCAUAAUAUUUAUCUAAGGCAUCUUAGAUAUCUUAAAGCUCCGGCGGUAAGAGAUGGGCAUGCGUGACAUUAGCUGGUUGGUAAGGUAACGGCUUACCAAGGCAACGAUGUCUAGGGGUUCUGAGAGGAUGAUCCCCCACACUGGUACUGAGACACGGACCAG